GGAGGAAAAGAAACCAACAGGGAUUCCCCUAGUAACGGCGAGUGAAGCGGGAACAGCUCAAAUUUGAAAUCUGGCCCUUGGGUCCGAGUUGUAAUUUGCAGAGGAUGCUUUUGGUGCGGUGCCUUCCGAGUUCCCUGGAACGGGACGCCUUAGAGGGUGAGAGCCCCGUACGGUUGGACACCAAGCCUAUGUAAAGCUCCUUCGACGAGUCGAGUAGUUUGGGAAUGCUGCUCAAAAUGGGAGGUAUAUUUCUUCUAAAGCUAAAUAUUGGCCAGAGACCGAUAGCGCACAAGUAGAGUGAUCGAAAGAUGAAAAGCACUUUGAAAAGAGGGUUAAAUAGCACGUGAAAUUGUUGAAAGGGAAGGAUUUAUGACCAGACUUUUUCUAGGGGGAUCAUCCGGUGUUCUCACCGGUGCACUUCCCCUAGUUGAGGCCAGCAUCGGUUUCUGUCGGGGGAUAAAAGCUUUAGGAAUGUGGCUCCCUCCGGGGAGUGUUAUAGCCUGUUGCAUAAUACCCUGACGGGGACCGAGGUUCGCGCAUUGCAAGGAUGCUGGCGUAAUGGUUAUUAAUCACCCGUCUUGAAACACGGACCAAGGAGUCGAACAUUUGUGCGAGUGUUUGGGUGUUAAACCCUCACGCGUAAUGAAAGUGAACGGAGGUGAGAGCCUUUCGGGGUGCAUCAUCGACCGAUCCUGAUGUCUUCGGAUGGAUUUGAGUAAGAGCAUUAAUGUUCGGACCCGAAAGAUGGUGAACUAUGCGUGGAUAGGGUGAAGCCAGAGGAAACUCUGGUGGAGGCUCGCAGCGGUUCUGACGUGCAAAUCGAUCGUCAAAUCUGCGCAUGGGGGCGAAAGACUAAUCGAACCAUCUAGUAGCUGG
rnacentral:rRNA from 1 species